rnacentral:rRNA from 1 species
GAUGAACGCUGGCGGCGUGCCUAAUACAUGCAAGUCGAACGCUUCACUUCGGUGAAGAGUGGCGAACGGGUGAGUAAUACAUAAGUAACCUGGCAUCUACAGGGGGAUAACUGAUGGAAACGUCAGCUAAGACCGCAUAGGCGUAGAGAUCGCAUGAACUCUAUAUGAAAAGUGCUACGGGACUGGUAGAUGAUGGACUUAUGGCGCAUUAGCUUGUUGGUAGGGUAACGGCCUACCAAGGCGACGAUGCGUAGCCGACCUGAGAGGGUGACCGGCCACACUGGGACUGAGACACGGCCCAGACUCCUACGGGAGGCAGCAGUAGGGAAUUUUCGGCAAUGGGGGAAACCCUGACCGAGCAACGCCGCGUGAAGGAAGAAGUAAUUCGUUAUGUAAACUUCUGUCAUAGAGGAAGAACGGUGGAUAUAGGGAAUGAUAUCCAAGUGACG